AUUUUUGUUGACAUACUUUUACCUGCACUCUUGUGAACAAUUUUAUAUUUAGUUUUUGAUUCACAUAGAAAGUAAAAAUGAAUUCCAGCCCGCUUAUCGUUGAAUUAUAUACAUAAUUACAGUGAUUAUGAGCCAUUGCAGCUCCCCAGAUAUGAUGUGGAGCUAUGAGAAUCUCACCAUUGGCGAUGUCGACUGUGUCAAUGAUGGCCUUGUAAAUUAAGUUCAGACACAUCUUCAUUGAGUUCCUUUCUGUUUGGCGGAACAAUAUUUAUAUAGAUUUAUAUAGAUUACGCCAUUUGGAAUCACAGCAAAGACACUAUUUACCCCGAGGGACAGUUUUUUGGUGAACUCGCCCAAGCUGUUGGCAGCAUGUGCCUUCGGAUCAGCAGAAUUGAUUGGUCAGGCCUCGGGUCAGGCGAUCUACACCAGCCACAAGGCAAUUCCGUGAGAAAUGAAUAAAACGAAAAAAAAAUAU